rnacentral:misc_RNA from 1 species
AAAGUCGUAACAAGGUUUCCGUAGGUGAACCUGCGGAAGGAUCAUUAAUUUGGGAGUUGGUUUACUGUUGCCUCCUUUCUCUCUUCUAACAGUAAACCUAUCCCCAAAUAUGAAAGGAGCAAGAUACCUUUAUAUUUAAAACCCACACUUGAACAUAUAAAAUUUAUGUAUUAUUGAUAAAAUAAAAGAUCACUUUCAACAACGGAUCUCUUGGCUCUC